GAAGGUGUAGCUCAAGUGGCAGAGCACAUGCUUAGCACGCAGAAGGGCCUGGGUUCCAUCCCCAGUACCUUCU
rfam:Camelus ferus isolate Naran unplaced genomic scaffold scaffold2013, whole genome shotgun sequence.